rnacentral:rRNA from 1 species
GACGGCAGCUUAGGUUCGGGUAGAGUAGUUCUGGCCGGGUUGCUCGCCGCGUGAUGGGGAGGGGAGAGAAGGAAGGCCCGCCGCGCGCGGCGGCAGCGAGCGAGGGUGUAGCUUGGUUGGCGGCGUGCGCCGGCGCAGUCACGGCGUGGAGACGGGAUCGGCGGAGAGGGAAGAGGCCCGCCGCGGCCUUGACUUCUGCUGCUGCAGCCGAGCUAAGAGGGGUUGGUUAGAGGCUGCUAGCGUCGGGCAAAAGAGGCUUUAAAGCCCCGGAGCAGCGCGGAGGUAGACGAUGGUCCUCCCCGCCGCAGCUCGAGGGGCCCUACAGCAAGGCGCCGGCACCUCCCUCUCCUCCUCCCUCUCCGCCGGCGCCUCCUUCUCCUCCGUCUCCGAAGCCCCCGCGGUCGAUACUGGUGGGGCGGUUCGUGCGAGGGGUACUCCUGAAGGGCCUCUAGUGGGACGGCCUCUACUGGACGCGGUUCCGCUGGUUGCUCCUCUUCCGAGACUAUGACAGGUGGAACUUCGAGCUACUAAAGUACUCCUUAAGAACGAUGAUGGACCUCGGCCUACGGGGGUUCUUUUUCUUACUGCUGUUUCUCUAGCUUUCUAUAAGACUAUCCUUCGCAUUUUGUGUCUCGUUUGCCCUUCGAGAACGUAGUAUGGAGUUUGACUAGGGACGUUUAAAAGGACGUCUUGACGAUGUACCGAGAUUUGCUCGUGUUGGUCAAGUCUUUUUUGAAGCCACCCUAUUUCUGCGUCUAUUAGUCCGUAAACUAUAUAAGCUCUUUGAACUUCGCUUCGUCUUCCUACCUCUCCUCUUCUGGCUUUUCCUCCCACUACUCCUCCUCCUCCUACUUCUCCUCCUUCGUCUUCGCCUUCUUUCAAGUCUACUGCUAAUAUUAGUCUUAUAGCUCAAACUACUACUGCUACUACUGACCUUGGUCCUCCUCCUUCGUGUACUUCUGACGAUACUAACUACUAGCGAUCGACGACUUUUCCAAUUGGGUAAGUUGUAAACAAUCCAAAGAACCAUAAGAAGAAGCAAACAUUGAGUAACCCGUUAAAACUACCUUCCAUCACGCAUUAAUCCAUUAUAGUCUACUAAUAAGAAGGGCGCAAGUCCUCAAGUAAAACCAGUACCAUAAUUCUUUACCUUAGGAUGCUCUUUGAGUCCUGGUAGACUUAAGACGUCUCAGGACAAGACUUACAAAGAUAACGCCGACACGGUCUUUUACGCUAAAAUAGACGGGAAAUUAAGUAUCUCAACCCAAGUGUAGGUUUCUUUUUCUUUCUUUUAAUACCCUGAACCAAAAGACACGUAA